GCAGUGUGUCGCCAAUCGGCGGGUGAUAAGUGUGGUGUACCCGCAAUAUGCGCUGCAGCCUCGCGACUCGUGCGGCACGUGCGUGCCGCGCUGUUGUGUCUUCUCACGUCACACGUGCUAUAUGCGUCUCAAUUUGCGCCUAGCCUUACUGUAACUAACGCACGCAGCUUUUUCACACGACACUGCCGAACGCUGGCAGGAUACCGAACGGCUCGUCAUAAGGCUACGGCCACACUUGGGUUUCUUGAAGCUGGACGCUCAAAGUCUAAAGAAGAAGCUCCAAAAGUCGCCUGAUGGUGGCCACAUUCGACCGUGUAUAUAGCUUCUUUCAGCGCAACGCGUCCUAGCGACCAUACACGUGAAUGUGGCCAUAUUUGGCUCAGUAGCGUUUCAGACCUGCCUGGCAUUGAGGAAUGAAUGUAUUAAAUAAACAGUCUGCAACAAUAAUAUGUGGUGCAUUGUUAGUGAUUCGACGGAGACGACGUAGACAAAAAUGACGUUUUGUGGACUAAUCCAGUAACUGAGGGAAGAUCAGAGACAGUCACAUUCAAUCUGUUACACAACAAACUUAAAGAAAACCCUGAAAAGUUUUUUGAGUACUACAUGAUGUCUAUUAAGUCAUACGAAACUCUGCUGUCUAAUAUGUCGAAUGCUAUUACUAGAAGAAACACUCGACUACGUGAUUGUAUAAGGGCUGAAGAAAAACUAUCAAUUACUCUAAGAUAUAUCGGCCAGGCUUGUGGUAUUUUCAGAAACUCGAAUUUCUAGACGCUCAUUACAUGCCACGAAUUAGGAACACUGCCCCUCUGCAGUCUAUGGAAUGUAGUGACAGUUUUCAGACAGAUGAAAGCACAUCACAUGAAAGUGAUUUUGUGGAAUCUUCCACCAGCAAUGUCAUAGAAUUUUCAGAAGAAAGUGAUGUGAAGGACAUAGGACUAGUUGAAUCUGAUUCAAUACUAGAACAAGUGCCACUGGCACAAACCUCAUGGAGUUCUGCAGAGAGUGCUACAUCCAGGUCCUCUACUGCAAGAAAAAGAAACAACAGUGACAGUUAUGACAGUGCAAUACAAUUAAUUGUAGACAGACUGCAGGAAAGUUAUGAUGAUGACAUAACUGUUUUUGUAAAAUAUCUGGCAACAGAAAUGAGACAAAUAAAAUGCAGAGAAGCAAGGAAUGCCUGUAAGCAAAAAAUACUAAAAAUUGUUUAUGAUACUUUAGAUAAUGAAUAAAACAUUGUGUAUAUUGCAUUGUGUUUACUUUCUAAAAAUGUAACUAUUUAAUUGAAAGAAAAUGAAUUCAGUGUGAAUCCUGCAAUUCAUUGUUCAUGUGACACCUGGCUGUGAUCAAAAUGAUGGCUGUCAGCAAUAGUAAUAAUAUGAGUGCUACCAAAUCACUGUAAAUCUGAUCAGUCUGAAGAACAGUGUGAUUGGGUAUGGGUAGUAUUGUAA